AGGUUAUCAUGAAACAACACCUUUACCAACAUUACCACCAGCAUUGACAACAACACGCACUCCAAAUGUGACAGAGAAGCCCAUUGAAUUUAAUGUGACCUUCACAAUCACCAACCUUGAGUUUACACAAAGUCUACAAGAUUCCAGUUCCUUGCUUUUCAGUUCUGCAUCAAAUAUUAUUUCUCACCAGCUCACUGCCCUGUUCACCAAGAGUAAAAUUAAUGAAACAUUUUUACAUUGCAAUGUUGUUUCCUUCAG